GCUUAGCCAAGAGGAGGAGCUCAGCAGCAGGUGGGAUGUUUCCUCUGUGAAGAGGAUUGAAGUAGCAAUGAGUGCUCUGUACUGAACUCAGUAAACACCUCCACAAUGUUGCUGUCUGGACUUAUGUUACUCAGUGCCUUAGCAAGUACUGUUUUGGGAAACAAAAUCACACCAGACAGCACUGAAGUGUUCACAGAGGAAGGACUAAAUGUUAGCUUGUCCUGUAGCUACUCCUCUGCAGAUUAUCUCCAUUGGUAUGUCCAGUAUCCCCAAUCAGCUCCACAGUUCCUCCUGCUUAUGCUGCACGCCACUGGGAAAGACCUGAGUCCAGGCAAACAUCCUCGCCUGAUGGGCAAACUAAACCAAGAGAAAACUAAAGUGUUUCUGGAGAUCUCCUCUGUUCAAGUCUCUGACUCUGCGCUGUACUACUGUGCCAUGGCGCCCACAGUGAUACUAAACGACAGACUGCUGUACAAAAACCUGACUGUGGAUGGAACUAAAUUCAAGAUGACACGGUCUAAUCCCAAAAAGGUGGCAACAUGACAUCCCUACUCGCUGUAGGUUAUUACUGUAAGCCUGUCAAAGACUCUGAAGAAUCAAGUUGAAAAGAAAAUCAGCUGAUAAAACCCUCUUGAA